CAGGAUGAACGCUAGCGGCAGGCUUAACACAUGCAAGUCGAGGGGCAACGCGAGUAGCAAUACUUGGCGGCGACCGGCGCAAGGGUGCGUAACGCGUGAGCAACAUGCCCGUAUCAGGGGGAUAAUCCAGGGAAACUUGGUCUAAUACCCCAUAGUAAUUUUGUAAGGCAUCUUAUAAGAUUUAAAGCUUUGGUGGAUACGGAUUGGCUCGCGUGACAUUAGCUGGAUGGUAAGGUAACGGCUUACCAUGGCUAUGAUGUCUAGGGGUUCUGAGAGGAAGGUCCCCCACACUGGAACUGAGACACGGUCCAGACUCCUACGGGAGGCAGCAGUGAGGAAUAUUGGACAAUGGAUGGAAAUCUGAUCCAGCCAUGCCGCGUAGAAGGAAGAAGGUCCUAUGGAUUGUAAACUUCUUUUGUAUGGGAGCAAUAAGGCCUACGAGUAGGCUGAUGAGAGUACCAUACGAAUAAGCACCGGCUAACUCCGUGCCAGCCGCCGC
rnacentral:rRNA from 1 species